AUUGAACGCUGGCGGCAGGCCUAACACAUGCAAGUCGAACGGUAACAGGAAACAGCUUGCUGUUUCGCUGACGAGUGGCGGACGGGUGAGUAAUGUCUGGGAAACUGCCUGAUGGAGGGGGAUAACUACUGGAAACGGUAGCUAAUACCGCAUAACGUCGCAAGACCAAAGAGGGGGACCCUCGGGCCUCUUGCCAUCGGAUGUGCCCAGAUGGGAUUAGCUUGUUGGUGGGGUAACGGCUCACCAAGGCGACGAUCCCUAGCUGGUCUGAGAGGAUGACCAGCCACACUGGAACUGAGACACGGUCCAGACUCCUACGGGAGGCCGCAGUGGGGAAUAUUGCACAAUGGGCGCAAGCCUGAUGCAGCCAUGCCGCGUGUAUGAAGAAGGCCUUCGGGUUGUAAAGUACUUUCAGCGGGGAGGAAGGGAGUAAAGUUAAUACCUUUGCUCAUUGACGUUACCCGCAGAAGAAGCACCGGCUAACUCCGUG
rnacentral:rRNA from 1 species